rnacentral:rRNA from 1 species
UAGACUCCACUCUACAAUCGCACUAACGCGAAGGGGGUACCUCAAGCCUAUAGGCGACUGUCUUUUCUUGGCUAAAAAGCUAGGAAAAAAGGGGGGAAGACUAGUGCAGCCGCCGCGGAACACCAGCCCCUCGAGUGGGGGGACGAUUAUUUGGCCUAAAGCGUCCGUAGCUUGCCGGAAAAGUUUCCCGUUAAAUCCGACGUCUCAAGCGUUGGACUGCGAGAAAUACUGUCUGGCUAGAGAGUGGGAGAGGUUAGCGGUAUUCUGGGGGUAGGGGCGAAAUCUUUGAUCCCGAGGACACCAGUGGCGAAGGCUGCUGACUAGAAACUCUACGGUAGGGACGAAAGCUGGGUAGCAACGGAUAGAUCCGGGGAGUCAGCCGAACGAUGCUGCAGUGUGGGUGGCACAGCACCCAGUGCGCAGGAACCGUAGCAUGCGCCUGGGAGUACGACGCAGGUGAAACUUAAGGAAUUGCGGGAAAGGCGAUCGUUAACUGCAGGACUAGUCCCUUUAGUGAGGUUAUUCUGAGCUGCGUAAUCUGGACAUAGCUGUUUCUGAAUU